AGAAACCCUAGAAAACCCAAUUCACUUUACAGCAACUAUGCUUAGAAAUGGGGCAAGUAUUUAGGUGAAGAUAGCCGCAAUUAUGGAAUGUAUCCACAUCAUUUGGAAUGGGGCGAGGAGCACUAUAAGUCGUUUGACGCUUUUCUGGUCAAAUGCUCAGAAAUUCUACUAGAUUCUCCCCUAGGAUCCUAAUCUCCCUCUCAAUCAUCUUGCUAUCUACCAAGGCGUGAAGUUGAGGAUGCAAGAGGGGGUUCAAUAUCGUAGAUGCUAGAUUAAGAAGAAGUGUUAUAAACUAUGAAAUAACACUGCCAAAGGCGAGAGGGAAGGACUCUCUGACAUUCCGCCGUUCUCUUUGAUUGAUAGAGACAAAUGGCCGGCUCUUCAUGCCUAUUUUGCUUCUGAGGACAAGAAUGUGUAUAAAAUUGAGGCGGCAUGCAAUACUGAGAACCGAGAGUCAAACAAGAAUGGUAGAGCAACCUAUACAGGUGGCUCAGGUGGCUUGAGAAGCAUGAGUCGGGCCAUGGAGGAUUGGUACAAUAGGAAGAAGGAUGAAGGCUUUAGUGAUUCUUGUUCUUGGUGUCAUGUUAGUAAGCUCAUGCUUUGCAAUGCCGAGGAAGGUGUUGAGUAAUGAAAUACAGGCAGAUGAUAAAGCAGGAGAGUCACAAGGACUGGUUGAUAGAGGAAAUAGUGAGAAGGUCGAUGCAGCUCGUAACGUUGUAAAUACGAACUCUCAUCAUCAAAUACCAGCACCAAAUUCUGGCUUCAACAACUGAUGAUUCUGUGUGUGUACAUGUAUGUUUCAUUACAUAUGAUAACUUAUAAGCAUGCAUUGCAUAUCGUACUGGGUGAAUGUGUUAGCCUUGAUUAGGAGUUUCUGGAGCAUGGGGCAUGAAGUUUGAUGAUGAUAGGUGUAGUCUAUCCGAGGUGCAUUGUAAAUAGAUAAAUGAUGGAUGAUGUACCUUUACCACCAGUUAUCUAUUAAGUGGACUAAUAUUAUGAACUG